AGUGAACGCUGGCGGUAGGCCUAACACAUGCAAGUCGAACGGCAGCACAUUAAGAGCUUGCUCUUACGGGUGGCGAGUGGCGGACGGGUGAGGAAUAAAUCGGAAUCUACUUUUUCGUGGGGGGUAACGUAGGGAAACUUACGCUAAUACCGCAUACGACCUACGGGUGAAAGCAGGGGAUCUUCGGACCUUGCGCGAUUGAAUGAGCCGAUGUCGGAUUAGCUAGUUGGCGGGGUAAAGGCCCACCAAGGCGACGAUCCGUAGCUGGUCUGAGAGGAUGAUCAGCGACACUGGAACUGAGACACGGUCCAGACUCCGACGGGAGGCAGCAGUGGGGAAUAUUGGACAAUGGGCGCAAGCCUGAUCCAGCCAUACCGCGUGGGUGAAGAAGGCCUUCGGGUUGUAAAGCCCUUUUGUUGGGAAAGAAAAGCAGCAGGUUAAUACCCCGCUGUUCUGACGGUACCCAAAGAAUAAGCACCGGCUAACUUCGUG
rnacentral:rRNA from 1 species